CUCGCAGUCAUGGUCUCCGUCUUUGAGUCUGAACAGCUGAAACUCUCUGAGGAUGCGCAAGAGAGGAUCUUUCACCUCUGCUUUCCUCCUAAUGCCGUUCUUCCUCUGCACCUCAGACAAUUGAGAGAUGGAUAACGUCCUCUGGGUAGUUUGGAGGGGAGAUCUGGACUAGGUCAGGAAAGAAUGGGGUGUGAGUUAGCUGCUGUGUGCAAAGAGUGGAAUUGGUGCCUUUGCUCACCUCUAAAUGCCAAAGACACGGUGGGGGAGCUGUGAAGACUUACAAGGUGGAGGGACAUCCUCAGAUAACAUUCACUGGGUCUACUUUAUAGGGAGAGCUCACACAAGGAGGAAGAGGCCCGCAUGGCUACCAUCAAAGCCUCCUGUGACAGGCCUGGCUGUGUGGUGAAGUGGGCUCACUAUAGAGCUGUUAGGACACUGGACAUGGCCAACAGCUGCCCAUGGUACACAGGAGAAAAGCCUGCUGAGACGGGUCUAAGUGUGCACUAACUCGAGCUUACCACUGUUAGGACAGUGGACAUCUUUCCAUGUCACACAGAGGGAGAGGUGUAAGAGAUGGAUGAUAUCCAGA
rnacentral:lncRNA from 1 species